AUUGAACGCUGGCGGCAUGCUUUACACAUGCAAGUCGAACGGUAACAGGCCGCAAGGUGCUGACGAGUGGCGAACGGGUGAGUAAUGCAUCGGAACGUGCCCAGUCGUGGGGGAUAACUACUCGAAAGAGUAGCUAAUACCGCAUACGAUCUAUGGAUGAAAGCGGGGGACCGUAAGGCCUCGCGCGAUUGGAGCGGCCGAUGUCAGAUUAGGUAGUUGGUGGGGUAAAGGCUCACCAAGCCAACGAUCUGUAGCUGGUCUGAGAGGACGACCAGCCACACUGGGACUGAGACACGGCCCAGACUCCUACGGGAGGCAGCAGUGGGGGAUUUUGGACAAAGGGCGCAAGCCUGAUCCAGCAAUGCCGCGUGCAGGAAGAAGGCCUUCGGGUUGUAAACUGCUUUUGUACGGAACGAAACGGCUCUGGUUAAUACCCGGGGCUAAUGACGGUACCGUAAGAAUAAGCACCGGCUAACUACGUG
rnacentral:rRNA from 1 species